rnacentral:rRNA from 1 species
UACGUAGGGGGCAAGCGUUGUCCGGAAUCAUUGGGCGUAAAGCGCGCGUAGGCGGCCCGGUAAGUCCGCUGUAAAAGUCAGGGGCUCAACCCUUGAACGCCGGUGGAUACUGCCGGGCUAGAGUCCGGAAGAGGCGAGUGGAAUUCCUGGUGUAGCGGUGGAAUGCGUAGAGAUCCGGAAGAACACCGGUGGCGAAGGCGGCCUGCUGGGCAGUUUAGCUGACACUGAGGCGCGACAGCGUGGGGAGCAAACAGG